CCUCUGAAUUCAAGCUUGUGGGUUGGAUGGGCCCGCGGUCCAUCAGCUAGUUGGUGAGGUAAUGGCUCACCAAGGCAACGACGGAUAGCUGGUCUGAGAGGAUGAUCAGCCACACUGGAACUGAGACACGGUCCAGACUCCUACGGGAGGCAGCAGUGGGGAAUCUUGCGCAAUGGACGAAAGUCUGACGCAGCGACGCCGCGUGGGUGACGAAGGCCUUCGGGGUUGUAAAGCCCUGUGGGGCGAGACGAACAGCUUCUGGUCGAACAGGCCAGGGGUUUUGACGGUAUCGCCUUAGCAAGCACCGGCUAACUCUGUGCCAGCAGCCGCGGUAAUACAGAGGGUGCAAACGUUGCUCGGAAUUACUGGGCGUAAAGCGCGUGUAGGCGGUUUUAUAAGUCCGACGUGAAAGCCCGGGGCUCAACCCCGGAAGUGCGCUGGAUACUGUGAAGCUGGAGUCCUGAAGAGGAGAGCGGAAUUCCCGGUGUAGAGGUGAAAUUCGUAGAUAUCGGGAG
rnacentral:rRNA from 1 species